GGGCCCGCACAAGCGGUGGAGUAUGUGGUUUAAUUCGAUGCAACGCGAAGAACCUUACCAGGGUUUGACAUCCUGCGAAUCUCUUGGAAACGAGAGAGUGCCUUCGGGAGCGCAGUGACAGGUGGUGCAUGGCUGUCGUCAGCUCGUGUCGUGAGAUGUUGGGUUAAGUCCCGCAACGAGCGCAACCCACGUCUUUAGUUGCCAGCAUUUAGUUGGGCACUCUAAGGAGACUGCCGGUGAUAAACCGGAGGAAGGUGUGGAUGACGUCAAGUCAUCAUGCCCCUUACAUCCUGGGCUACACACGUACUACAAUGCUACGGACAAAGGGCAGCAAGUUCUCGAGGACAAGCAAAUCCCAUAACCGUGGCUCAGUUCAGAUCGUAGGCUGCAACUCGCCUACGUGAAGGAGGAAUCGCUAGUAAUCGCAGGUC
rnacentral:rRNA from 1 species